CUGGCUGGGGAAAAAGAUUGG
rnacentral:miRNA from 1 species